AUGAUUAUGUGAAUCGAGGAUGAUAUUGUACUCGUAACAGCUCAGAUAUGCCCUUUUCUUCUGCAUUCCCUCUUUUCCCUCUUACCCUCGAAAGUUUACCCGAUUCGGCACUUCAAGUACUGCGGCUUAUGAUCACGAUCACGAUAUGGAGCGCACAUCUCCCCCGCCCCACAAACGCCACUUCAGCGCCGCCAACAGCUUCUUCAACCUAUCCCGGUUUACGAUCACCAGUUGGAAAAGCUUGAUUUCGAAACAAGAUCAUUACUGUUCACUAAUCGCGAACAGCGUGACGAUCAAUGAGACAGCACGCCGCAGUCGGGUUGGGGAAACAGCGAAUAAAAACAAUUGAAGGACUUCGAGAAGCAAGAUCAAUGUAGCAGCCAACUAUUUCAGGAUCAAUUUUGUGCUUCGGAUGGGUCUGUCUAUAUUCUUUGGCGUCAUUUCUUUUAUGGUAUUUUGUUAUGCUGCAACAAUGUCGAAGCUUCUUCCAGAAUCAGGAAAUCAGAUAUUAUUAUCCAUUCAAAAUGACUGCAUAUUUGGGAACCUUGUGAUGGAGAUUCGUUGGUGACGUGUGUGGACUUGUACCUUGUAGAGAACUCAUUGUGAUGCUGACCUUGUUCUUCAAAAUGUUUCUGGAGGUUGUCAUUCUUGUUAGAGCUUCUAUCGUGCAAAGAUUUAUGAAAAGAAUGGAUGGUUCAUGUUUAGUCUGGAGUUUUCACCCACGCACUCUUACAGUCCAUCUACGGCAUAAUCAAACUGAACCAGAUGCGCUGUCCAUCUAUCUUUCUGUAAAUAUUUGAUUUUCUAUAAGAAUAUGUAUGUGCGAUUAAACUUCUAUUUUGUAAAGUCGGAUUUGUCAUAUAUUGUACUGGCAAGUCAGGUUUAAUCUAAAGCAGGAUUUGGAAUUC